CGUCCCUGAGCUUGUGAACAACACUUUAGCAGCAAUAUUCUAAACGUGGCGCCCUUUGCCAGAAGUUAGUAUGACCUGAGGCAGAGAGGAAGUCAAGCACUCACAGGCCAGUCUAAGAAGCACAACGCGUGGUUUCUGCACAGUGUAUUAUUCCGGCCUUGAUAUAAUGACUUUAAAAAUAGAUUUAUUCUAUUCAUAAUUCAUUCAAGAAGAGAUGGUGCCUGAGUUCCACGAAUGUGAAAAUUGGACCAUGGUAUUGCUGCCACCUUGUGGGAGAGUGAAAGAACUUCAAGAGACUGUUCUCUCCCCAGACUCCUUAGCACCCUCUGAUUCCAGCAUUCGUGCAUUUGUGCAUCCUUUCAUCCAGCAUUUACUCUGUGCUAGGCCCUGGCUAGACCCUGGGGACAUAAGAAAGUAAGACACAAUUUGUAUCCUCAAGGUAUGCAGAAUGCAGAUGUCCAGACACAAUGUGUUGUUACAAUAUUGUCCCGGGGAGAGCGCCCUUCUUGGGGGUGGGAUAAUGGAGGUACCCAAAAGACUUUCCCAAAGAGGCAUAAUCCAAAGAUUCAUAGAGAGUCAGAC
rnacentral:lncRNA from 1 species